UACGUAGGGUGCGAGCGUUAAUCGGCAUUACUGGGCGUAAAGCGUGCGCAGGCGGCUUACUAAGACAGGUGUGAAAGCCCCGAGCUUAACUUGGGAAUGGCGCUUGUGACUGGUAGGCUGGAGUGUGGCAGAGGGAGGUGGAAUUCCACGUGUAGCAGUGAAAUGCGUAGAGAUGUGGAGGAACACCGAGGGCGAAGGCAGCCCCCGGGGCUAACACUGACGCUCAUGCACGAAAGCGUGGGAAGCAAACAGG
rnacentral:rRNA from 1 species